ensembl:lncRNA
CAAAUAUACGUUAGAAUUGGUGUUGCUUCCACCACUAUGUUUCAAGUCUCCAUUAGUAUAAUGUAACCUAAGGCAGUUGGUAAAUUCAGCAUUUCAGAAAUGAAAACUCCAAAAAAAAAAAAGCAAUAGUCAAGCCUAUGCAGUCAACCCUUAUCCUACCUAAGGGUUCUGAACACCUGACCUUGGAGAAUGACUGUCCGCAAAUGGCACCUGUCUCCUAGCCCACUGCAGGUAACAGAGGACUCUCUCCUUGCACCUCAUCCCUGUCAGUCUUCUCCAUCUGCUCAAGUACCAGCUUCUGAUUGAUUGGCGGUGGGCGCGGUGCAGUGUAGGGAAAGGAUCAGACCUCGCUUUGGGUCCCGACCUGACCGUGUGCUGAGAUGUGCCGUGGAGCAUCUCGGAGCCUCCCACAAAGGGUGAUCGUGCCUGGCCUUUGGGGUUGGGGUAAGGAUUUGUGGCAUAACAGGAAAGGUAUUUGGUCUUUGUCCCCAGUUUCUGGCACAGGGCUCCUUGGAACCCUUAGAAUCUCCCGAGUGAUAGGACCAUCUUCUGUUCUAAAGAGGUGACUCUUGGGGGGUCCUUCCCUAGAAAGCUUCAGGAUGGAGGCUGGUCGCCAGAAAGACCACACCUUGAUUAGAAGAUCAAUCUUCCAGAAGUUUCUGUCCCACUCCCCGACCUCUGGCAUGGGAAAAGGGGCUGGAGGUCAAAGUCAUCACCAAUAGCCAGUGAUUUAAUCACUCAUGCCUACGAAAUAGAACUGUCAUGAAAACUCCUAAGCAAUGGGAUUCAGGGAGCUUCCACGUUGCUGAACACAUCGAGGUGCUGGAGGACACACCCAGAGAGGGCGUCGAAGCUCCAUGUCCUUCCCCCGCAAACGUCUCUUCCAUUUGGUUGUUUCUGAGUUGCACCCUCUGUAAUAAAUAGUCAGUAAAGUGCCUUCCUGGGUUCUGUGAGUCCUUCUAGAGGAUUCUCAAACCUGAGGCGGGGGUCUUGGGAGCCUCUGAUUUACAGCUUGGUCAGAAGAUUGGGUGGUCCUGGACUUGUGACUAAUGUCUGAAGCGGGGGCAGUCUCGAGGGACCAAGCCCUUUAACCUUUUCGGAUCUGACGCUAACUCCAGGUAGAUGGCGUCAGAAGUGAAUUGGGCUGUUGGAUUCCCAGUUGGUGUUGGAGAGUUGGAGAAGCAGUGUUGAAAGAGACACCGUGUAUUUGGUGUCAGGAGGAAAAGACCCCUCAUCCUUGUACAUAGUGCAUGUGUGCUGCCGAUCACGGAGUGAGCAAUUAACAAAUUCAUUCAUUUAUUCCACAAAUAUUGACUGAGCAAACUGCUUCGUCCCAGACACUGUUCCAGGCUCAUGAGUGGUGAAUAAAAUAUAAAAUGUCCCUGCCCACUUGGGGCUUAGAUUCUAGUAGGGGGCACAGGAAAAAUUAAUAAGCACGUACGAAGUCAGAUAGUGUGUUAGUUUGCUAGGCCCGCCUUAACCAAAUACCGCAGACCUAGGGAUUCCACAACGGAAACCGAUUGUCUCAUGGUUCUGGGGGCAGAAGUCUGAGAUCCAGGUGUCGGCAGGGUUGGUUCCUUCUGAGGCUGUGAGGCAGUGUCUGUUCCGGGCCUCGCUCCUUGGCUUGUAGAUGGCUGUCUUGUCCCAGUGUCCUCACAUCAUCUUCCCUCUUUCAGAGUCUCUGUGUCCAAAUUUCCCUUUUUUUAAGGACACCUGUCAUGCUGGAUCAGAGCUCACCCUAAAGACCUCAUUUUAACUCGAUUUCCUCUGUACAGACCCUACCUCCAGAUAAGGUCUCAUUCUGAGGUAAAUGGGGUUAAGACUCCAGCGUCUCUUUCUGUGGGGAGACACAGUUCAGCCCAUUGCGGUUUUGGAGACAAGAGGCCCCAAAUCAAGGCCUCAGCAGCUCCGCACUGUCUCCAGCUCCUCGUGGCAGCUGGCACUCCUGGGGGUUCCUUGGCUACAGCUGCAUUGCUCUGAUCUCUGCGUCGUCAUCUCAGGGCCGUCUUCCCUCUGUGGUCUGCGUUGUCACUCAGCAUUCUCCUCCGUUUGCGUGUCCGUCUCUGCAUCUCUUCUCCUCUUCUUAUAAGGACACUAGUCACAUUGGAUCAAGAGCCCACCCUCCUCAGGUGUGACUUCAUCCUCAUGGACAUCUUAGUUCCAUCUUCAAAGACCCUAUUUCCACAGCAGGUCAUGUUCACAGUAGCAGGGGUUAGGAGCUCCACACGCCUUUUUGAGGGGCACGCUGUAACCCCGACAAGGACCGUGCCCUCGCUCUGUGUGCAGUGGGGCCAGUAGGCAGUGGGCAUUCCUGUGAGUCUGGUACUCUGCUCAGUGCUCUUGAUGCCCAGACGCAGCUGCACAAGAUAGAGCAUUUAAUCUUUUUAGUGACGCGCCCUUUGCCUGCUUUCAGAGAAGCUUGGAGGCAACUGACAAAGGUAGUUGCAUAGGCAACAGGACAGUUAACAGAAAGGGAAGAUGUCUAACGAAAGGGCUAGAGAAUUAACUAUUUCCUGGCCCUGGGAAGGCAUUGAAGACUGAAGUCACAGUUUCCUUAACUCUGAACUUCCUGGCAGUGAAGGCAAGAGGGAAAUAUGUUUGGAGCCCUAAAUUAAUUAUUUUUUUAAAUAAAACAUAAGAGCCAUAGGUUAGUAUGAUGACCAAGGUCUUCAGCUGCAGUUUGGCAAAGUUGUGGGGACCUCCCCAGCCCCUGUUUCCUGUAUUGACCCUUCCUUGUACCUGCAGGGAAGUCAGCCCCCUGGGGACCCGCUGAGGGUGCAGCGUCGGUUCUCUUGAAAGUUAGAAGCAUCCCGUCAUAUCUUAAUCCAAGGAGGUCUUCCCUGGUGGAGAGCUGAAGCCACACGCUUCCUAAUGAUUGACGUGAACACAGGUUUGCAUUUAGACGUCCGGGAGGAAGGGGUUGCUAAUGGAAUCAGUAGACUGAGUCUCAAAUGUCAGAUGCUCAGCCUGCACUGAAUUGACCUCAAAUCACUGUUAGGCUGACCACAGCUGUCACAUUAUUCCCCCAUUUUCCCAUUCUGUGUCACCCCGACUCCUGCCUCUUCAUCCCUCCCUCGUCCCGGCAGAGCCACAUGCUGGCGAGUCUACCUUCAGCGCCUCCAUGUACAUCGCUCCUUAUCCUCCCCCCAGCCACGACCACAAAGGACCCUCUGUACCCAUUUCUGGAUGGUGGCACCAGCCUUUAUUGGCCUCCCAGCCUCCUCUGCUCUCAGAGGAAUCUUCUUAAAACGCAGCAUGAGCAUGUCAGCCCUUCUGUAAAGAUUGUCGAUGGCCUCAACCCUUUGCCUGGUCUCAAUGGGCAAGUGGAGUUUGGAGUCAGACAGCCCUGCAUCCUAAUCCUCCCACAUAUUUGUCCUCUCUGAGCCUCAGCAUCCUCAAGCAUAAAUGAGCCAAGUUGGCUAAAGACGUCACCAAGAUGGGAUCCAGCAGACCGGCUCAACCCUACAACAGUGGGUAAGGAAGCCAGGGUGGCUUUGCUCUGCUCCCCCCUUGGGCUGACACUGCAGUUCAACGCUCAGGGGUCAAUUUUAGGUUCUUCUUUCAAUUUUAGGUUCUGAGGGGGUGUACCAUUGUGUCACGUUGCCAGGAUUUGGGGGGGUUCGGGGCAAUCUGGAUUGAACACAGUGAUGAAAUUGUGAGCCCUCUGGUUUCUCAGCUGCAUGCCAUCUCAUGCUCCAUCCACGCAUAGAUGCAGCGUCCAUCUCUGUGAAGAAAACUCUUUUAGAAAGCAAAGGGUUACUUCUUAUUUCCAUAAGGUUCUUAGCCGUUUUUAAUGUAAUAUACAUAAUCUUAUUUUACGGGCUGAAUUAGCUAACACGAGAGCAACUUUUCGGAAGAAAUGAUACCUUUCAAUCAUGCCCCAAAUAUUCAUCUCAGGGUGGUGAUGAGCAGCAAAGGAUUGCUAAUGAGAUCAUUGGAAGUGGCUGCUCGAAGUUUCCUCCGUCUAAUGAUGCUGACACUCUUGAUUUGGUGUGACAGGUUAGACUGACAGGCAUUUUGGCAGCCAGACGCACCAGAAACAAUUAUUUUACAGAUAAAUUAUUGCCAUUCAGGCAUUCAAAGCUUCCAGAGAUUUCUGUUAGCUCAUGGACGCUGGGUGCAUGGAAAUCUUAGUUUCACACGUCAGUGGGGUCUGAACAUACACGGGGGGACACCCAGGUUGCUCUGCGUGGAGCUAGAUCAGAAUGUAGACUCGAGUCUUGGCUCCCCGCCCUGCUAGCAGUGAGGCCUGGGGCAGGUUACUGAAACUGUCUGAGCCUGAUCUCUAGAGGGGGAUAAUUAAACCUAGCUCAUCAGGGUGUUGUGGGGACCCUCAUGAAUUAAUGUCCAUGACGCACUUACUGUCCUGCAUUUGGAGACGCAGUAGCUGCUGUUUUCACUCCCUGCACCAGGUGCACUGUGGGACUUUCUAGGUUCACCACGGUCACGUGCCCACUUUGCUUCAUCCAAGUUACUCUCUUUGAAGGAUGGAUGAGAAAAGGGCUUAAGACUCCAGACUUAGAGCAAGUUGCUUGCUCCAAGCAGGGUCUCCAGGAGACCCAUGAUGUUAAAGUCUGGAAAGGCUGGAAGGUCAGGGGGUGAGACCGGCUUUCUCCUUUUGCAUGUUCUGGGCAAGUAUUUACUCACUAGGAUGCAUUCCCAAACUUUUCAGGGUCAGAAAAAAAAUGGAGCUGCCUUUGAUUUUGCGUUUGGGCAGCCUUCUUCCUCUGGGCCGUGCAGUGGCCGGCCCCUCGUGCUGGGGUGGAGCCCAGGAUGACACCAAGCAUGGUUUGACUUGGUCUCAACUGGGUCAUGAGAGUGGAAGGAUGGGUGUGGAAGGUGGGACCUGGGAUGAGUCAGUAGCCCUGGGUCCCUGUCCUGUCCCUUCUCUGGGGUUCUCUGCUUACCUUCUCUGGUGGAAAUUCCAGACGGCAACUUGGAUUUUUCCAGUGCAGUAACUUGAAAGGUAAUUGAUGAUAUUUCUUGGCUGUGAUUGUUGAACACCAGUACAGUCCAGGCCUUUAGCGAAGCUUUUGCCCACAGUAUCUCAUCCAUCCUGGCAACACCAGCCCAGAUAGGUCCUGCUGAGGGAGCUGAGGCUCAGGGAGGUUGAGUGACUUGACCAGAGGUGCACAGAGCCUGGCAGAUGCAAACCUAUCUCCUCCCUGAGCCCAGGGCAGGUGUGUGUAGCCACUGUGCACUGUGCUGUGUGUCCUCCAGGGCGUUCUCCUCGGUCAGCUCCCCCCGGCAACCUCUGUAAACUCAGAACAGACAUGAACAGCUGGGCCUCCUUCCUGGGCCAUGAGCCACCUGGACCUUGUGUUUAAGGAGCUGACAGGGUUGAUGCGCACGGGUCCCGUAGAACACCUCAUCCUGUGUGUGAGUGUGAGCUGCACGUAGGCAUGGUUGGCGGACCAAUGGCAGGAGGUCUGCCUUGCUUCUGACUGUCACUGCUGGAAAGGUGACAUUCAGCCACCUGCGUCUCCUUCUGGCCUUCAGCUGUGAAAUGAGGGAUGGGACUGUGUCCUUCUGGGAUAAAUCCUUAGAAUUCUAGAUCUCUGUGUGCUGUAGGGUUUCAGGAAAAAAAGGAGGCCGUAGAUGACUAGAUGGAGUCAGGGAAGCGUCUGUGUCCUCUGCAGACUGAUGGUGAUCUUUCCAGACUGAUCUGGGCUUUGCAUGCCCUCCACCCACCUUGGGGACCUGGUCCUGCCCCUGGGUGAGCCCUGGCCCUGCCCCCUGGGUGAGCCCUGUUCCUACCCCAGGUCCUAUCCGUCUUGUGCCCCUUGCACUGCCCCUGGGGAAUGUCUGAAAACCUGUCAUGUCCCAGCGCCACCUAAGCAGGGUGAGUUGACCCAGGAACCCAGCAGAAACUGCCGUGGUUGCAGUGCCCAGGGUCACACAGUCUGGAGCCUUUACCUCCCUCUCGAUGGAGCUAUUCUGCUUGUCCUGCUUCCUCCUAGGAGUGAAGGACUCCAGAAGGACCCUAGACCCCUUUUCUCUCAUGGGGCUCCAUGCUAUCUGUGGAUGAGAAGGGGGCAAUUGCCUUCCACAGAGAUCCUUCCUAGGCCUGUGCUCUGGCCUCAUGCAGACAGCCUGGAACCCCCAGAGGGCCAGCUGUAGCCAGAAGGGAAGGAAAACAAGCCUCCACGCUGUGUUUUUUCUUUUAAACAUGCGCUGGGAUGAGUGUAAGUAAACCCAGAGGCCGUGGGAGAGAACAGAUCUCACUCGCGGGCUUGUUUCCAUUUCUUGUGGUAUACUUCCUCGCACUGGCCUUUCUGGUCAUCUCGUUAUCUCCCUCUGAAGGAGGGUGGUAUGCAAAGUUUAGCGCCCUUUAUUUGCCGAGCAGUGGAGACCGCCAAGUGCCAUAGACCUGGUUUCCACUUAGAUUGUGUCCCAAGUUAUGCAAGACAUCCCCUCUGGUGGAUGAGGCCAAACUCCUGAAUCCCUUGUCCCCUGUUCCUUCCGUCCCUCCCUCUCUCCCUCCUUCCCUCUCCUGGAGCCACAGAGGGGCCUCCACCUGGGUUCUCUUGUCUCUUGGUGGCCAUUGGGAAUUCAGUCCCUCUUCCUUCACAACAACCUCUGAUUUGAGGACGGUAGCCUGGACAGUAUGAGAAGACCCCCUCCCUGGAGCUUUCAUUGCCUUGCCAUACACUGGGGUCCUAAUAGCUCCUGCCUCAUCUGGCAGUUGUGAGACUGGAAAGAGAAAAGCUCUCUUUUUCAUUCCCUAUGAGACAUGGGGGAUGGUGCCUUUCGUAUGGAAAACUACAAAGGUGAACUGGUAUUGUCCUGUUGUCUUCCCGAUAAUUCAGGGCACCGUUGCGAUGUCUUCUUGGUGGAGCCCAGGC